rnacentral:rRNA from 1 species
GACAGAGGGUGCAAACGUUGUUCGGAAUUACUGGGCGUAAAGCGCGUGUAGGCGGCUCGAUAAGUCGGAUGUGAAAGCCCUGGGCUCAACCUAGGAAGUGCAUUCGAAACUGCUGAGCUUGAGUUCUGGAGAGGAAGGCGGAAUUCUCGGUGUAGAGGUGAAAUUCGUAGAUAUCGAGAGGAACACCGGUGGCGAAGGCGGCCAACUGGACGAAUACUGACGCUGAGACACGAAAGCGUGGGGAGCAAACAGG